AAUAUUGGACAAUGGGCGCAAGCCUGAUCCAGCCAUGCCGCGUGAGUGAUGAAGGCCUUAGGGUUGUAAAGCUCUUUUAGCAGGGACGAUAAUGACGGUACCUGCAGAAAAAGCCCCGGCCAACUUCGUUCCAGCAGCCGCGGUAAUACGAAGGGGGCUAGCGUUGCUCGGAAUCACUGGGCGUAAAGCGCACGUAGGUGGGUCGUUAAGUCGGGGGUGAAAUCCCAGAGCUCAACUCUGGAACUGCCUUCGAUACUGGCGACCUUCGAGUUCGGGAGAGGUGAGUGGAACUGCGAGUGUAGAGGUGAAAUUCGUAGAUAUUCGCAAGAACACCAGUGGCGAAGGCGGCUCACUGGCCCGAUACUGACACUGAGGUGCGAAAGCGUGGGGAGCAAACAGG
rnacentral:rRNA from 1 species